UUCCCCAAUCACACCUAAACCCUGUCACCCUGUGAACUUACAAUCUACUUCCCCAAAUAGGGUUACUCCUCCCGAAUAGACAGAAAGUCAGAAAUUUAACUGCCACUUAAAGGAACACAAACUCAGCCUUUAGAAUGUUCAGCAUUUCCCUGAAAUUCACAGAACACCAGCAAACUCUCUCCUACGUUUUAUAAAAUGCAGUGGUCGAGCAAAGGUGAUGAACUAUUUUCGCUUCAACCAAAACUGAAAUCUCACAUCUAAUUUUACUAUUUCAAGACAAAAAGACAUUAUUAAGUCUAAAUUAAAAUGCCAUGUGCAGAACACGGCAGCCACAAAUCUAGAAACCGCAGUAGAUGG
rnacentral:lncRNA from 1 species